rnacentral:lncRNA from 1 species
GCUCUCUGACCCUGCUUCCAUUCCCUGAGGAAGGCAGCACCCUCAUGACCAGGUGUCCCUGCCUUUUUGAAUGUUUGCUUUUCUUUAGGUGCACGUGCGCACACUUGUAACCUAUCCUCUAAAGAUCCAGAUAGUAAAUAUUUUAGGCUUUAUAGUCCAUGUGGUAUUUGUUGCAAGUAUAAAACUCCACCCUGGUAUAUUGAAAGCAGCCAUAGACAAUAUUUAAACAAGUGAAUGCGGUUGUUUGCCUGUUAAAUGUUACAAAACCAGGCAAUGGGCUGGAUUUUGCCUUUGGGCUAAGGUUUAUCACCACUAGAGCAAGAGAGGCUAAUUGGAAAGUGUGGAGAAGACUGAUUGCUCAGUGUUCUUACAGGUAGGCCUUGUCAGUGUCCUGCAACAGAGAAACCCAGGCAAAGCUUGGCUGGCAUGACAGAUGGCAUUGCCUGUGGUAUUGUUAGAAACAAACUGUGUGGCUUGCCUUUUGCUACUUUGUGGAUUCUUCUUUCUUCCAUUCUUGUCCACGUUUUUUCCCCCAACCCUUUCAGCCCCCUAACACUAGAUAAGAGAGAUAAAAGGAUGGAGAAGGAAGGAAAGAGAUCCUUAGGGGGUGACAUUAUCAUCAGACCACUUCCUGCUGAUUUGAGGUGUCUAGUUUCUUGGGGCAAGUUUGGUCUUUGCCAUCGGGAUAUCUAAUUUCUUCUUCUUGCUUCUUCUUUAAGCAUGACUUACUAAAUGAACCGUAACUAACAACGACCAACAACAACCAACAGCCAACAACCCACCAUGCCUCUCGGGAAGCUAGCAGUUAUAUACCCUCUGAAAAGACCCCAGAUAUCACACAACUGCAGAAACUACAUGCAGCUGGAAAUAAAUAAACAAAUAAAUAAAUCACACCCCUGCUAGAACGUGAGGCAAAUCAUGAAGCAACCGUAUAUUGCCACCCCUGGGAUUAAAACAAAACAAAAC